CAUUAAUCCUUCAUUUACAAAGAAAACAAUUUUGCAUUCAUAUCUUCAUCAGAUUAAACCUCAGCUUUGCAUCAUCUCCUUUGAUCGCUCUACUAAACACUCAUCUAGGACUUGUAUGGUGUUUACAAUUCCGCCUUCAAAAAUAUCUGAUCUCGAAUCGAUUUUGAGAAAAUCUCGAUAAAUUUCUGCAUUUACGACCCCGACGAAAAACCCUAGAGAGGUCGAUCAUGAAGUUUGGCUAUUCGUCUGAUCAAAUUCGAUCUGUGUUUUAAACAACUGGAAAAAUAGCAAUGUCGAAGCCGAUCCUGCUUGUCUUUCUACUGAUUAUACUUAUAGUCACCUCUCAGUUUGAAUGGAGACAACCACUUGUUGAGCUGAGAUGAUAGUACUGAAGUUAUCAUCUGCAAGAACCAUAUCAGAAGCUUCUUUUGCAACCUGAAAUUGUACAGCAUCAUACACAACCAGCUUGUCACAGAAACAAUAGCAAAACUCAGACAGGGAGGAAGCUGUGAAAGAGAAGCUCCGUCGACUCUGCGCAAACUGGUGGGUCAAGCGAUUUGCUAUUCCAUCUGGAUCCAGAGGAAUACCAGAAUAUUUACAAAUCAGGCUACCACUGCUGCUAUUCUUUUCAAGGGAAUUGAUAGGCAGAUCAAGAACACCAUCACAGCGAGAAGACAACGCAAGCAUUUUGGAAACUUAAUGCAGCGGUGGCUUCACUAAGUGUUUCGAAAUCUUCUGUGGGUUAAAAUCAAUCUGUUGCCUUGUUUUUUACUUUCUUUUUUGCCAAAGUUUCAUGUAUAGGGGCUGUACUUUUGUAACACCCAACUUUCAUUUUAUAUGAUAUUUACAAGUUAGCAAAAAAAAAUCUAAUCCAAUCUGAUGAU